rnacentral:rRNA from 1 species
UACGUAGGGGGCUAGCGUUGUCCGGAAUCAUUGGGCGUAAAGAGCGUGUAGGCGGUCCGGUAAGUCCGCUGUGAAAGUCGGGGGCUCAACCCUCGAAUGCCGGUGGAUACUGUCGGGCUAGAGUGCGGAAGAGGCGAGUGGAAUUCCUGGUGUAGCGGUGAAAUGACGCAGAUAUCAGGAGGAACACCUAUUGCGAAGGCAGCUCGCUGGGACGUAACUGACGCUGAGGUGCGAAAGCGUGGGGAGCAAACAGG